rnacentral:rRNA from 1 species
AACGAACGCUGGCGGCAUGCCUAACACAUGCAAGUCGAACGAGACCUUCGGGUCUAGUGGCGCACGGGUGCGUAACGCGUGGGAAUCUGCCCUUGGGUUCGGAAUAACAGUUGGAAACGACUGCUAAUACCGGAUGAUGUCUUCGGACCAAAGAUUUAUCGCCCAGGGAUGAGCCCGCGUAGGAUUAGCUUGUUGGUGAGGUAAAGGCUCACCAAGGCGACGAUCCUUAGCUGGUCUGAGAGGAUGAUCAGCCACACUGGGACUGAGACACGGCCCAGACUCCUACGGGAGGAAGCAGUGGGGAAUAUUGGACAAUGGGCGAAAGCCUGAUCCAGCAAUGCCGCGUGAGUGAUGAAGGCCUUAGGGUUGUAAAGCUCUUUUACCCGGGAUGAUAAUGACAGUACCGGGAGAAUAAGCCCCGGCUAACUCCGUGCCAGCCGCCGCGGUAAAAC